rnacentral:rRNA from 1 species
GACGUAGGGCGCGAGCGUUGUCCGGAUUAUUGGGCGUAAAGAGCUCGUAGGCGGCUUGUCGCGUCGACUGUGAAAUCCCGCGGCUCAACUGCGGGUCUGCAGUCGAUACGGGCAGGCUAGAGUUCGGUAGGGGAGACUGGAAUUCCUGGUGUAGCGGUGAAAUGCGCAGAUAUCAGGAGGAACACCAGUGGCGAAAGCGGGUCUCUGGGCCGAUACUGACGCUGAGGAGCGAAAGCGUGGGGAGCGAACAGG